UCAGCAUACUGCCGUGAAUACGUUCCCGGGCCUUGUACACACCGCCCGUCACACCAUGAGAGUUGGGAAUACCCGAAGCCUGUGAGCUAACUUAUAGAGGCAGCAGUCGAAGGUAGAAUCAAUGAUUGGGGUGAAGUCGUAACAAGGUAUC
rnacentral:rRNA from 1 species